UGCUGGCCAAGGAAGAGCUCCCCAUGGUUCCCACAAACCCUGCCCUAGGGGGAGGAGGUAGCUGUGAAGGUACAUAGAGGCAGAGAGGAGAAACUCCUGAUCCUGGUUAGAUUGCCCUUCCCAUAAGAGCUACUGUUCCCCUUGAUCAAGUCUACAUCUGUGUCAGUGGGUUUCCAUUUGGCUGGCAGACAGAUCCAGGCAUCAGCUACUGACUUCAACCUGUGACACAUGGACUUGCUGAAAGUUGAUAUGGACCAAUCCAGCCAAUAUAAAUGCUGUUUCUUCAGCUGGUCAGUGAA